rnacentral:tRNA from 1 species
AAGGGUGAAGUAUAAUUCUUUACAUUUCAGUUACAUUGAAAAAAUCCAUCAUUCAGAGGCUCCCUUA